GAUGAACGCUGGCGGCGUGCCUAAUACAUGCAAGUCGAGCGAACAGACGAGGAGCUUGCUCCUCUGACGUUAGCGGCGGACGGGUGAGUAACACGUGGAUAACCUACCUAUAAGACUGGGAUAACUUCGGGAAACCGGAGCUAAUACCGGAUAAUAUAUUGAACCGCAUGGUUCAAUAGUGAAAGACGGUUUUGCUGUCACUUAUAGAUGGAUCCGCGCCGCAUUAGCUAGUUGGUAAGGUAACGGCUUACCAAGGCAACGAUGCGUAGCCGACCUGAGAGCGUGAUCGGCCACCCUGGAACUGAGACACGGUCCAGACUCCUACGGGAGGCAGCAGUAGGGAAUCUUCCGCAAUGGGCGAAAGCUUGACGGAGCAACGCCGCCUGAGUGAUGAAGGUCUUCGGAUCGUAAAACUCUGUUAUUAGGGAAGAACAAAUGUGUAAGUAACUAUGCACGUCUUGACGGUACCUAAUCAGAAAGCUACGGCUAACUACGUG
rnacentral:rRNA from 1 species